CCUGCGCUUCCGGAGCGGUUCUAGGAGGGGUCGGCUCCGGCCUCGCCCCGAGGGCCCCCACUCCGUAGCUGUGCUGCCCGGUCCGCCCCGGCCCUCGGCUCCGCCCCUCCCUCUGGCACCCACACAUCCAUCCCCGCGGCGCCUCUACUCACCCAGCGCCGCGCUCCGAGGAAUCCGCCAUUUUCCCGCCUUCCACUCAAAGGCGGCUUUUCACGGCCGGCCCCGCCCCCUCGCGGCGGGUCGGACCAAUUGCAAGCUGUAGGAGGGGCGACCACGCGCGCGCUUUUCCCCUCCUCCCCUCGCACUUGGUCUCGCCCACGAGCGGUGGGAGCUGGUGGUGGGGCCGAAUCUCUAGGAAGGGGCGUGGCGUUCAUGGCGCUCCGCCCCGUGACGCGCUCGCCGUUACUCCCGGCCCCUCCUCUCCGGAACCCGGAAGCCAGAGCGCGCGGGGCGGAGCGGCCGGAGGCCCGGGGGGCAAGCUUGCUGACGGGCGUCCGGGCGGGGACCGGCCCGCGACCGGCGGCGCGCGGCGGCCGAGGCCCAGGUCCUCCCCUUCCCCAGAAUGCCGCUGAUAACAACUAAAAGUCCCGCAACUUGGAAACCAACCAAUCAGAAGCCAGUCCCGUACUUGGAAACCAACCAGUCAGAAGCCAGUCCCGCGACUUGGAAACCAACCAAUCAGAAGCCAGUCCCGCGACUUGGAAACCAAC